UUACCAGGUCUUGACAUCCUCUGACACUCCUAGAGAUAGGACGUUCCCCUUCGGGGGACAGAGUGACAGGUGGUGCAUGGUUGUCGUCAGCUCGUGUCGUGAGAUGUUGGGUUAAGUCCCGCAACGAGCGCAACCCUUGAUCUUAGUUGCCAGCAUUCAGUUGGGCACUCUAAGGUGACUGCCGGUGACAAACCGGAGGAAGGUGGGGAUGACGUCAAAUCAUCAUGCCCCUUAUGACCUGGGCUACACACGUGCUACAAUGGAUGGUACAAAGGGCUGCAAGACCGCGAGGUUUAGCCAAUCCCAUAAAACCAUUCUCAGUUCGGAUUGCAGGCUGCAACUCGCCUGCAUGAAGCCGGAAUCGCUAGUAAUCGCGGAUCAACAUGCCGCGGUGAAUACG
rnacentral:rRNA from 1 species